rnacentral:rRNA from 1 species
CCUACGGGCGGCAGCAGUGGGGAAUAUUGCACAAUGGGCGCAAGCCUGAUGCUGCCAUGCCGCGUGUGUGAAGAAGGCCUUCGGGUUGUAAAGCACUUUCAGCGGGGAGGAAGGCGGUGAGGUUAAUAACCUCAUCGAUUGACGUUACCCGCAGAAGAAGCACCGGCUAACUCCGUGCCAGCAGCCGCGGUAAUACGGAGGGUGCAAGCGUUAAUCGGAAUUACUGGGCGUAAAGCGCACGCAGGCGGUCUGUCAAGUCGGAUGUGAAAUCCCCGGGCUCAACCUGGGAACUGCAUUCGAAACUGGCAGGCUAGAGUCUUGUAGAGGGGGGUAGAAUUCCAGGUGUAGCGGUGAAAUGCGUAGAGAUCUGGAGGAAUACCGGUGGCGAAGGCGGCCCCCUGGACAAAGACUGACGCUCAGGUGCGAAAGCGUGGGGAGCAAACAGGAUUAGAUACCCGAGUAGUC